UAAAACCAGCACCUCAAGUGGUCAGGAUGAUUAUUGGGCCUAAAGCAUCCGUAGCCGGCUCUGUAAGUUUUCGGUUAAAUCUAUGCGCUCAACGUAUGGGCUGCCGAAAAUACUGCAGAGAUAGGGAGUGGGAGAGGUAGACGGUACUCGGUAGGAAGGGGUAAAAUCCUUUGAUCUAUCGAUGACCACCUGUGGCGAAGGCGGUCUACCAGAACACGUUCGACGGUGAGGGAUGAAAGCUGGGGGAGCAAGCCGGAUUAGAUACCCGGGUAGUCCCAGCUGUAAACGAUGCAGACUCGAUGAUGCAUUGGCAUAUAGCCAGUGCAGUGUCGCAGGGAAGCCGUUAAGUCUGCCGCCUGGGAAGUACGUACGCAAGUAUG
rnacentral:rRNA from 2 species